GCCUCAUGCUGUUUGCAUCAAGCUUUUGAAUCUGCCUGGUGAUUGGGGUAACCAUGGUCCUGGGCUGAGAUCCUGGAGGCCUGAGCUUCCGGGGGUCUUACAUAGAGGCUUGGUGAUAAAGUGCUUACCUAGCAAUGGUAAGGGCCUGGAUUCAGUCCCAGCAUCAGAAAGAGGGGGGCAGGGGGCAGGAAACAGAACAAAACCAAGUUGGUGGUUUAGGAUAGGGCUCACCGAUGGAGCCAGGAAUCUACAUCUUGUGGUAGAAAUUCAAAACUCAAUGACUGUGUGGCCAUUAAUAACUGGGGAAGGAGAAACACAUUUCUUUUUCUUACAUGAUGCAAUGACCAUGAGUGGCACAAGCUGUGCUGUAGCAAGGCCCCUCCUUAGCCCCACCACAGGAUUUCCCACAGAGUCUAUGUUUCCCAUGCAAGCACGUGCAAGCACAGACUCUGUGAGCUAGUGUUUCCCAAACUUCGGAGAAGCACCCAUUGUUUAACCUGUUAUUUUAUCUAAACCUACUCACCUUGCCUUCCAGCUGGAAAGCUCCUUGGUGAGUCUGUCCCCUUGUACCAUUGAGCCAUAAUCAGCCCUCUCUUUACUGUUUGUUUGUUUGUUUUUUAAGAGACAGAGUCUUAUGUGUCCUGGGAUGGCCACGAACUUACUGUGUAACUGAGGAUGAUCUUGAACUUCCGGGUCCUCUUGCCUGUACCUCCCAAGUGCUGGGGUUACAGGCAUGUGCCCCCAUACCCAGCUAAUCCUUUGCUGAGGAUCAAAUCAUUGCUUUGCACAAGAUGCUGAAGUCACUGCCCAAGCUCUCCUUCUCUUUCUGGUUCUCUACCAUGUGAUCAAGAGGAACCAGGUUGGAAGCAAAGAGCAAGCCUUCACCAGACCAAAUCUUCAGGUGAUCAUUGGCCGCCUUCCAGCUGCAUUUUACUCCUUCACAUGGAGAAAGCCCUUCUUUUCCACCUACUCUUUCUUCCAUCCUGGACUCUGGGGAACCAGAAGUCAGCACCCUGGCAAACUGAUGAAGGACAGCAAAUAUCUCAAAGGCAAUCACCACUUCUGCUCCCUAUGGCAUGGGUGGAUGGAAGGAGAAAUUAGCACAAAAAAAAAUGUGCACACCCCAAGCUAAAAGUGACCUGGUACCUAACUUACAGGAAAACAGCCAGAAACCUGGAACCUCACAGCAAACGCUCAACCAACAUUUGAACCUAUUUUGAGUUGCUCCUCUGCAUCUGAGCCAUUCAGAACCUGUUGUCUGGGACCUCUCCAUUGAUGUGAAGUUGCUCUGAAUUUAUCUGCUCCUGAACAGGAUGCUUCAGAACAAAUGGAGUUUGAUCAGUUGUACAAGAUGUCCAUAUUUACCAAGUACCAUGCCAAGAGCAUAAGAUAUUACAAAGAACAAAAUGGCAUGGGUGCUGCCCUCAAGAGACUACUAAUCCAAUAUUGGAAAGACAAGACACAACACACCUAGUACAACCAGGAGGGAAAGCUGGCAGUCUGUGGUUCACCUGCCUCCUAAAGAGAAGAGGAGCAGGGCCCAUUGGAGGCCUUUAUUUUUCUGUGCAUCCAGUUGGAGUCUGAUACUUGAUUUGAAGGAAGGAGUUGGGGAAGUCCACCAUGAAAAGUGAAAGCUACUUGUCUGUCUCCUUCAAAUGGUAGAAACUGGCUGGGGAGCAUCACUUAAUUGCCUGCUUUCUUUGGACCUUGUGGGUGUGUUGGGAGGAGCAGGCUGAGCAACAAGGGUUCAUGUGGCUCUCAAGAGGAAAGAGGCCUCAGCUUGCCUUUAAGCCGACAGAGCAGCAUGGUAGCUAGGAGGCUGCUGGGUGAUGAGGAACACUCAGAGCUGUACUCCCAGCCCCCUGGCCUCUCCAUUCUUGAUCUUAAUUCUGACCUGACCCUUGGUGGCACCUGAACUGUGGAACCAUGCUCUUUGAGUUUACUGGGCAUUAACACUGUGUGUUUGGAAGACAAAACACAGUAAAGACUUGUGUGUGCAGAGGAGAGCUGAUCUGAUACCAGGGGCAAGAGCAGGUCCCUUUCAAACAUGUGCUUUACGGCUUCCUCUCUACACUCUCUCUCACCUACGUGCUCUCUCUGCCUCUCUAUGGGGACUGGCCAUGGCGGUUAGCCAUUAUCCCUGUUCCUCUCCUCUUCUCUCUUACUCUCCCUACUCUGCCGGGCCCUUAUAAUAAACUAGUUAUUAUGUCUCAUGUCUCAGCAUUUCUCUUUUCUUCUUUUUAAACAAAAGAAUAACAUUUGGCGCCUGGACAUGGAAAGGCUCUGUCCUUGCACCUUCUCCCAAGGCCCGCUGGCGGGCACGUGGUAAGGCAAGGGUACCCUUACACUCGGAUCAACAACCCACACACUACAUCUCACCGGUAACUAAGGAUCUCUGGAACUCACUCAUCUGCUUGUUCGCUGCAAUCCGGUGAGAUACCCAUAACUUUUCCCAUGGGGCAGACCCAGCACUGCAUUUUGGAGUUCACUCUGGGUACAUUUUUCAGUUUCGGACUGCUGAGCCUCUUUCGGGCUUUCUGCCGGGUGCUCUCAGACAGAGCAAUCUGUGCCAUUUUUGGCCUUGCCCACGGGAAAUACAUUUUACGGGAUCUUUCAGUUACUGCCAGCGAGUAGGUAAAUGAGCAGAGUUCUGCCUCCCAGUGGGAACUUUCUUUCACCUGGGAAUGUCCCUCAUUGUUCUGUUUGUUCUAUCUCUGACUGUGUUUCUUCUUGGUUGGCAAUGUCUACUUGAGACGCUCUGAGAGUUUUUUGUGUUUGCUGGUUUUCAUUUUUCCACAUGAAUGAGGUUUGAAACUUUUCUGGCAAUUGAGAAUGUGCUUACGGGGCCACCAUCUCGGCCAUGUGGGCUAACCUGGGGGCCGCCAUCUUGGUCAUAUUGUUAGACCCCCGGAAAACUCAGAUAUCUAGGGUCCCAGGCCACGACCUCGGUCAGUCACCCCAAUCACCAGGCAGAUUCGAGAGCUUGCUGCAAACUGCAUGAGGCUUUAAUGUAAUUUAACGAGCUAACCCCAUGUUAGCUCGGGUCUUUUCAUCCACCCGCCAUGGCAAAUGGCUGGAAAAGACAGCUCCUAGGGGCUCCCGAGAGAUCUUGUAAGGCAGCGUAAGGGGAGUGUCUAAGGGUACGCACAGGCUCACGAUUGGGCACAGGCUCACGAUUGGUGUGCCUCCAGGCUUGGAGGGCUUGCCCUGUGUUGAUUGGUCAAUUGGUUGUUAUGGCCCAUAGGCCCUCCCAGGGUGGUUGCUAUGCUCUGUGCGUCAUUGCUGUGCACUUGUCCGUAAAGCACACCCAGAGCCAUAAAGCAUAGCACCACCAGCUAACUUCUGAUUGGUUCCUUGCCACGAGGCAGGCGUCUGACCUCUAAGUGACCAAGGCAAGGUUAUGGCAAGCACGUGUUACUGUCGUGGCUGCCGAAAUGGGGAGCUGGUCCCUUUAGAACCUUUCUAGUUUCAUCCAACAAGCAGGUAAACAGACAAAAGCGGCUUAUGGUGGCCACCAUCUUGGUCAUGUGACCUACCUGUAGACACGCCUAGCUCCAGCGCCUAUGCCAGCAAACUGUCUACCGGAUUUUUGAUUUCUGCCAGAUUUUUUUGCUUUUUAUUUUAUUUUAUUUUUUUGUCUGUGAUUUCUUCUUUCACUGGCUCUGUUGUUCAUGGCUUGUUUACUAAAUAAUGUGCCUUACCAGGGCCCUCUGUUUAAGUCUACUCUGUCCCUUUAAAUCUCCUGUCUGUUUGCUACAAUGUACAAAUCAAAGAUUACAUUCUGGUUCCCCCUUUUACUGUUAUCCAGUCCUGCUUGUCUCUGUACCUGUAAUUUAACUUUAUACUUAUCUAGCUCUAUAUACAACUUAAAUUAAACUAUGCUAAGUCUCAUAUUUCUAAAUUGCUAUGUAUCUUAAAAUGAUGGUAAACAUUUAAAGUCAUAAAGGUCUAAUUUAACUAUACUUAAAAUAUAAGCUAAGACUAUACAACUUAAAUUUAACUCAUGUAUCUUUAAAUGCUGAUGAAAGUUUAAAAUCAUAAAGGUCUAUUUCAAACUAACAAAAUAUUUACACCACUCAGUCCACCCUGUAAGCCAUUUACAAAGGUACAGAUUUUAUUACAAAAAGGGAUUUUUCUCUAGCUAAAGGCAAACUUAACUGCUGAGAUACUAAACAGGCAGACAGCCCUCAAAUGCUCAGAGAUCUAGAGAAUAUUUAAAAUGUUUUUUUAAAAAGCUUUUUAUAACAGAGAGAUAGGCCAGCUUCUGGCUCCACCCCAUAUCCUCCAAGAAGACUGAUGGGCACUGAAGAAACUUCAUCUCGAGUCAGUGACAACCCUAGUCACUGAGCAACCCUGCCCUUCACCUCAACUGCUAUAAAAUAAACCAGACUGUGGACAAGAGGACAACGGAAUCAACUUUCCCCGAGUUGCUUGGGCCAACGGUAGGCGAGUCUUCCUAUGGUCUGAAAUCCACAGGUCACAUGCUAUCAGCAAGAAGGCAAGAGUCCUGCAGCCCGCUACUAUGGAUGGAAGACCUUGGGGGUGGCUGUCCAUGCAGCCUGCUGGCAAGUCUCUGUUAUUCUUUAAUCAUUGAUUCAGGUAAAAUCUUAGCCUUCUCAAGAACUCUGAUGCUUUUGGCAACUGGUAGUCUUGCCAGCUUAAAGCAAAACAGAUUCCAGGAACAGGUAUUUUAGGGUUUAUCGUCGUGAAGAUAGGAAAAUGUAAAAUGAAUGAAGGUCUGAGAAUGUAGUUACGAAUGUCUGAGGAUGGAAAGGUCUAACACGGUGGAUAAAUGCAAGUUAUGAAGGUCUGAGAAUGGAAGGUCUAAUAUGGUAAUGUAAAGUGUAUGAAUUAAAGUUAUAAAGGUCUGAGGAUAAAAAGGCUUAAGUGAUAAUAAAGUGAGUUGAGACAUUAAAAAGAAUGAAAUAUGUUCCUGAUUUCUCUAUUUCUCA
rnacentral:lncRNA from 1 species